rnacentral:rRNA from 1 species
CGUGCAGGUGGCCUCGUAAGUUGGACGUUAAAUUUCCCGGCUUAACCGGGAAGGGCCGUUCAAUACUGCGGGGCUUGAGGGCAGAAGAGGGGGGUGGAAUUGCUGGUGUAGUGGUGAAAUGCGUAGAUAUCAGCAGGAACACCUGUGGCGAAAGCGGCCCCCUGGUCUGCUCCUGACACUCAGACGCGAAAGCUAGGGGAGUGAACGGGAUUAGAAACCCCGGUAAUCCUAGCUGUAAACGAUGGAUGCUAGGUGUGGGUGGUAUUGACCCCAUCCGUGCCGAAGCCAACGCGUUAAGCAUCCCGCCUGGGGACUACGGCCGCAAGGUUAAA